UACGUAGGGUGCAAGCGUUAAUCGGCAUUACUGGGCGUAAAGCGUGCGCAGGCGGUUUUGUAAGUCUGUCGUGAAAUCCCCGGGCUCAACCUGGGAAUUGCGAUGGAGACUGCAAGGCUGGAGUCUGGCAGAGGGGGGUAGAAUUCCACGUGUAGCAGUGAAAUGCGUAGAGAUGUGGAGGAACACCGAUGGCGAAGGCAGCCCCCUGGGUCAAGACUGACGCUCAUGCACGAAAGCGUGGGGAGCAAACAGG
rnacentral:rRNA from 1 species